GGACCCGUGAUCCGGGUUGCGGACAGUGUCUGGUGGGUAGUUUGACUGGGGCGGUCUCCUCCUAAAGAGUAACGGAGGAGCACGAAGGUUGGCUAAUCCUGGUCGGACAUCAGGAGGUUAGUGCAAUGGCAUAAGCCAGCUUGACUGCGAGCGUGACGGCGCGAGCAGGUGCGAAAGCAGGUCAUAGUGAUCCGGUGGUUCUGAAUGGAAGGGCCAUCGCUCAACGGAUAAAAGGUACUCCGGGGAUAACAGGCUGAUACCGCCCAAGAGUUCAUAUCGACGGCGGUGUUUGGCACCUCGAUGUCGGCUCAUCACAUCCUGGGGCUGAAGUAGGUCCCAAGGGUAUGGCUGUUCGCCAUUUAAAGUGGUACGCGAGCUGGGUUUAGAACGUCGUGAGACAGUUCGGUCCCUAUCUGCCGUGGGCGCUGGAGAACUGAGGGGGGCUGCUCCUAGUACGAGAGGACCGGAGUGGACGCAUCACUGGUGUUCGGGUUGUCAUGCCAAUGGCACUGCCCGGUAGCUAAAUGCGGAAGAGAUAAGUGCUGAAAGCAUCUAAGCACGAAACUUGCCCCGAGAUGAGUUCUCCCUGAGACUUUAGGUCUCCUGAAGGAACGUUGAAGACGACGACGUUGAUAGGCCGGGUGUGUAAGCGCAGCGAUGCGUUGAGCUAACCGGUACUAAUGAACCGUGAGGCUUAACCUUACA
rnacentral:rRNA from 1 species